rnacentral:rRNA from 1 species
UACAGAGGUCUCAAGCGUUGUUCGGAUUCAUUGGGCGUAAAGGGUGCGUAGGUGGCGCUGUAAGUCGGGUGUGAAAUUUCGGAGCUUAACUCCGAAACUGCAUUCGAUACUGCGGUGCUUGAGGACUGGAGAGGAGACUGGAAUUCAUGGUGUAGCAGUGAAAUGCGUAGAGAUCAUGAGGAAGACCAGUGGCGAAGGCGGAUCUCUGGGCCUUACCUGACGCUGAGGCGCGAAAGCUAGGGGAGCGAACAGG